rnacentral:rRNA from 1 species
CCUACGGGUGGCAGCAGUGGGGAAUAUUGCGCAAUGGGCGAAAGCCUGACGCAGCGACGCCGCGUGAGGGAUGAAGGUCUUCGGAUCGUAAACCUCUGUCAGCAGGGAAGAACGGUCACUGUGCUAAUCAGCAGUGAAUUGACGGUACCUGACUAAGAAGCCCCGGCUAACUACGUGCCAGCAGCCGCGGUAAUACGUAGGGGGCAAGCGUUAUCCGGAUUUACUGGGUGUAAAGGGAGCGUAGACGGCAGCGCAAGUCUGGAGUGAAAUGCCGGGGCCCAACCCCGGAACUGCUCUGGAAACUGUGAAGCUGGAGUGCAGGAGAGGUAAGCGGAAUUCCUGGUGUAGCGGUGAAAUGCGUGGAUAUCAGGAGGAACACCGGCGGCGAAGGCGGCUUACUGGACUGUAACUGACGUUGAGGCUCGAAGGCGUGGGGAGCAAACAGGAUUAGAUACCCGGGUAGUC